rnacentral:misc_RNA from 1 species
AUGGUUUGCAGGUUCUCUCCAUUGCUUGGCUACAGCAUAGACGAAGUUCUCAAGCCUAAGGUAGAAUUUCUGAUGAAUUCAAUGGGAAAACCAAUAAGUGAUGUAGUUGAAUACCCAAGAUAUUUCAGCUAUUCUUUAGAGAAGAAGAUAAAACCUAGAUAUUGGGUGCUCAAUGGUAGAAACAUGGAAUGCAGCUUGAAAAGUAUGUUGGGUAAAAAUGAUGAAGAAUUUGCUGCAGAGUUUGGAAAGGGGAAGAUGCUUGUCCCCCCACUUUAAUUCUGGAACAUUACUCGCCAGUCGCCAGUGUUGUUUUAAUACAUUUUUUUAAGUAGAUGCACGAAUCAAUUGAUGGUUGGUGUGGUGGACUGGUGCAUGUGCACAGGUGACUCGGUGUUUUUUCUUGUGAAUAAAUUCAGAUCA